UUGAGAUCACCAUGGACUCCUCUCGCUCUUCCUCUUUCUCUUCCUCUUCUCAUGGAUCGCUGAACGACGCCGGCCCCGAAGCAGGCAACAGCAGCGCCGCGUUGGGAAGGCUGUAUUAUGACGGCUUCGACGACGAACCGCGUCACUUCUUGGACUGCUGCUCCCUGUGCAGGAAUCCCCUCGCGAGCAACCGCAACAUAUUCAUGUACAGAGGGGACACGCCGUUCUGCAGCGAGGAGUGCCGGCAGGAGCAGAUCGAGAUCGACGAGGCCGGGGAGAACAGCCGGAAGCUCUCCGUGAAGGUGUCCAGGUCGAGGAAGGAGCGGCGGAAGAGUGGCGAGUCCCAGAAGAUUCACGUCUGGGCCGACACUGCCGUGGCUAGGUAAACUACGGCACACUCGAUAUAAAGCUGUGGGUAGUGUACAAGGUUGAAACCCGAGAGGAGUGGCAAAGAGGAAGAAGCUCUUUUGCUUGCAUAGGGCGACGAGUGUUGUAACCUUUGCCUGGGUUGAGACUUGUUCUUCAUCGCUUUUCUUACUGUUUGUUGUUCUUGAUGAAGUGGUAAUCGAGGCUUUGAUCCCUCUCUAA